ensembl:lncRNA
GCUCCUCUUCCUUCCGUCCAGGCUAGCCAAGGUAGGGGCUGGGGGCUGGGGGCCGCGUGUCCUAGUGCACGGCUCACAGCUGCUUAGCAAUGCAUAAAAAGAUUUACAGAUGUAGAGCCAUAUCGGGGCACGUCGGGAGGGAACAGAUCCCCAGCUCCCGUCGCCCAGCUCUGCCCUGCCCGAUCAUUUUCUAGCAGAGGGAAAUUGCUGGCUUCCACUAAUUCUCUCCAGGUUCAGAGUCCCUAUUGACCACAUCUCCUCACCCCUCCUUCCUCACUCUUCCCUGAUUGCCUCUUCCUCCCUCCCUUUUUCUCCCAACCCUGAGGGAUUUUGAGCAACCAUAACAGGCGAUGACAAUUAAGCCCAUUCAAAAACAAGUCAUUUGCAUGCAACUCAUUGGCAAGGCAGAGAAGACUCAACCUGUCAUUAUCUUUUGGCAUCAGUCUGGUAACUGCUUGGACUGCUGGGGGGACGUUUGCUGCUAAGGGGAGAGCCAGGCUGGGACGACAUUUGUAAAUGGGAUUGGUCACUGGGUGCCAGGUUAGGAGGUCAGGAAUAGGUAACUUCAGGGGAAACGAGAAUGCCCUAGAUUUAAUUCCGUACAGGCAAUGGACAAAAAUGAAGGAAGCAUUUUCUCUGCUUUGUGUAAAGGAGACAACAUUGGGGGAUGAGAUGUGUGAAGGAAAUGUGGUUUAGGGCCAGUGGGUGGGAGUGCCAGAAAUCAGCGGAUGGCUGGUCCCACCUUCCCAGCUGGAAUUUACUGAAUGAGAUUAUCCCUUGAAAAGUAUUAAAAGCCGCCAUUUUGCUAUGCCCCCACAGAGUAGGCUCUGUAGCAGCUGCCACAUCACACAGGCACCCCAGCUGUUCUGCUAGCACCCACCACUUCUCCUCUUCCAGCCGCCUCCAUUCCUGCCCCCAGAAAUAAAGCACCAUGAGCUGCAAACACCCAUUGGUUCAUUGUGCUAACCCAGCACUUCUAUCUUCAGAGCAAGGCAAUGGAGAAAAAGAGAAAGAGAAACAAAGGAUUCCCUCUCCCUGGAUCAGGACGUGCCACAGGAUGCCAAUGGUAGAACUGAUGUUCCAAGGAUGUCUCCUACAGUGCCAAGGACAGAAAGUCAUUUGGGGAAGGGAGAAUCACAUAACUUCAGAAUUGGAGGAGACCUCAGAGUCCAGUGUGACUAUGAUGUACCUGACAAAUAAUAAUCUAGCCUUUGCAUGAGGAAAUGCCCAAGAUUUCCCAAGGUGCCACUGUAUUUUGGAAAUUUUGUUCUAAUUGUUGGGAGUUUUUUCCUUCUUUUGUUACUUCCACUUUCUAGUUCUACCCUCCAGAGCCAAGGAAAGCAAGUCUAGUCUCUUUCUCUGUCUCUUUCCUUCCUCAGAUUUUAAACUGGCACAGAGGCUGACCUCAAGGUAACAAAUACUUAGCCUAGUUUGGUCUAGCAUACAACUUCCCAAGGUAAAUAGGCUGGAAGUUUACACUGGCCAUAGAGACAUCUCUUAGGAAUGGCCUCUCCUCCCUACUUUCUAUGAUUUCCCAGACAUCAAAGGACACAGCUCUUGAACAAUGCAGUCAGGGACAUUUCUCUGCCAUCAAACAAGUGCCCAGGUGCAUGCAAGAAUGCCUUGAUCAAUUUCAUUUCAUAUAGCGAGACUGAUAAAUGAUAACCUGACUUUACCCUGAAGUGUCGUUCAACAAGGUUUGACCAACCCCACAUUUAAAACAUUUUCUUGAGGAGCCAUAACACUGUUAUGUUUUCUUGAGGAGCCAUAACUCAUCUACAAUGAGUUCUUUUUUGUUUUAAAACCCUUAUCUUCCGCCUUAGAAUCAAUACUAUGUGUUGAUUCUAAGGCAGAAGAGUGGUAAGGGCUAGGCAGUGAGGGUUAAGGGGUUUGCCCAGGGUCCCACAGCUAGGAAGUAUCUGAGGCCAGAUUUGAAUCUAGGACCUCCUGUCUUUACGCUUGGCUCUCAAUCCACUGAGCUACCCAGCUGCCCGCUACAAUGGGUUCUUACUAAUUAAAGUUCUUACAAUAACACCUGACACAUGGUGGGUACUUAAAAAAUGCUUGUUCCCUUCUGCACCCCCCUAAUCUUCAGUCCCUCCUUUUUUCUAAUGUACUGGAUAGUUUGAUGUAUAUAUACCCAUUUUAUCUCAUGGAGAUCAUAAGUUCUCAGAAAUCAUCAGUCUAAUCAUCCAUUCUAAAUUUUGUCAAUGAUUGGC